GUGACGAGGAAGGUUGAUAGGUUAAUAGCGUAUCAAAUUGACGUUAAUCACAGAAGAAGCACCGGCUAACUCCGUGCCAGCAGCCGCGGUAAUACGGGGGGUGCGAGCGUUAAUCGGAAUAACUGGGCGUAAAGGGCACGCAGGCGGUGACUUAAGUGAGAUGUGAAAGCCCCGGGCUUAACCUGGGAAUUGCAUUUCAUACUGGGUCGCUAGAGUACUUUAGGGAGGGGUAGAAUUCCACGUGUAGCGGUGAAAUGCGUAGAGAUGUGGAGGAAUACCGAAGGCGAAGGCAGCCCCUUGGGAAUGUACUGACGCUCAUGUGCGAAAGCGUGGGGAGCAAACAGGAUUAGAUACCCUGGUAGUCCACGCUGUAAACGAUGUCGAUUUGGGGGUUGAGCUUUAAGUUUGGCGCCCGUAGCUAACGUGAUAAAUCGACCGCCUGGGGAGUACGGCCGCAAGGUUAAAACUCAAAUGAAUUGACGGGGGCCCGCACAAG
rnacentral:rRNA from 1 species